rnacentral:rRNA from 1 species
UACGUAGGGCGCAAGCGUUGUCCGGAAUUAUUGGGCGUAAAGAGCUCGUAGGCGGCUUGUCACGUCGGAUGUGAAAGCCCGGGGCUUAACCCCGGGUCUGCAUUCGAUACGGGCAGGCUAGAGUGUGGUAGGGGAGAUCGGAAUUCCUGGUGUAGCGGUGAAAUGCGCAGAUAUCAGGAGGAACACCGGUGGCGAAGGCGGAUCUCUGGGCCAUUACUGACGCUGAGGAGCGAAAGCAUGGGGAGCGAACAGG